CCGUAGCUCAAUGGUCAGAGCAGGCGACUCAUAAUCGCUCGGUCGUGGGUUCGAUUCCCACCGGGCC
rnacentral:tRNA from 1 species